rnacentral:rRNA from 1 species
UGGGGAAUCUUGGACAAUGGGGGCAACCCUGAUCCAGCCAUGCCGCGUGAGUGAUGAAGGCCUUAGGGUCGUAAAGCUCUUUCGCCUGUGAAGAUAAUGACGGUAGCAGGUAAAGAAACCCCGGCUAACUCCGUGCCAGCAGCCGCGGUAAUACGGAGGGGGUUAGCGUUGUUCGGAAUUACUGGGCGUAAAGCGCACGUAGGCGGACCAGAAAGUUGGGGGUGAAAUCCCGGGGGCUCAACCCCGGAACUGCCUCCAAAACUAUUGGUCUAGAGUUCGAGAGAGGUGAGUGGAAUUCCAAGUGUAGAGGUGAAAUUCGUAGAUAUUUGGAGGAACACCGGUGGCGAAGGCGGCUACCUGGACCGGUUCUGACGCUGAGGCGCGAAAGCGUGGGGAGCAAACAGGAUUAGAUACCCUGGUAGUCCACGCUGUAAAACGAUGGGUGCUCGGUGUUGCGGGUGUUGA